ensembl:miRNA ptr-mir-188 ptr-mir-188
UGCUCCCUCUCUCACAUCCCUUGCAUGGUGGAGGGUGAACUUUCUGAAAACCCCUCCCACAUGCAGGGUUUGCAGGAUGGCGAGCC